rnacentral:tRNA from 1 species
GCCGAGGUGGUGGAAUUGGCAGACACGCUUGGCUUAGAACCAAGUGCCUUACGGUGUGCGGGUUCAAGUCCCGCCCUCGGUA